rnacentral:lncRNA from 1 species
UAACGUUACAGUGACGAUCAAGACUCUGUGGUGCCCCUCUUGGGCUCCCGAACCCUUGUGCGAGAGCUAGCUCAUACAAUGGGGUUCCAUUGCACAGUUCCAUACAGUACUUGGUUCCACAAAGGCCAGGUAUACUUCUAUUCCACCUGAACAAGCUGAAUUACAAUUACAAUAUUAGCUGAUACAGACCAUGAAUUUAAACCCGUGAAAAGUUUUCUGACCAAUGAUACAUCUGUUGCCCUUUGAUUUUCAAGGUUGGAGGCUGGGUAACAGUGUAUGGUAAUAUGCUGACCUUUGCAACGGUGCGGGGCGCAUCUCACAUGGUGCCGUUUGCGCAGCCAGACCGAGCUCUGGGACUAUUUCGAUCAUUUGUGCUUGGACAGACGCUCCCCACCGGCGUCUCCCUCCUCAAGUCCGGUACUCCCAAACCAAUCGCCUCUGCAACUCAACCAAGACGCCGCCGCCGCCCCUACUGCAGCAGAGGAGGCCGAGACGGCGCCUCCGCCGCCCCUCCGUGCCUCCGCGGCCGCCCAGGGGCGCCGUCUCGGCCUCCUCUGCCGCCAAGGGGUGCCGUGGGCUCGGCCUCCGCCGCUCGAUUUGGUCUGCAGCAGGAGAGUCCGCGAGUGGCCGAGCAUGGUUG